GCAGUCGAACGGAGAAAGAGAGGUUCGCCUUUCUUUCUUAGUGGCGCACGGGUGAGUAAUGUAUAGCUAACCUGCCCCUUGGUGGGGGACAACAGUUGGAAACGACUGCUAAUACCCCAUACUCCUUCUUACUCUAAGGUAAGUCGGGAAAACUCCGGUGCCAAGGGAUGGGGCUGUAUCCUAUCACCUUGUUGGUGAGGUAAUGGCUCACCAAGGCAAUGACGGGUAGCUGGUCUGAGAGGAUGAUCAGCCACACUGGAACUGAGACACGGUCCAGACUCCUACGGGAGGCAGCAGUGGGGAAUAUUGCACAAUGGGGGAAACCCUGAUGCAGCAACGCCGCGUGGAGGAUGACGCAUUUCGGUGUGUAAACUCCUUUUAUAAGGGAAGAUAAUGACGGUACCUUAUGAAUAAGCACCGGCUAACUCCGUGCCA
rnacentral:rRNA from 1 species